UACAAACAAUUACCGAGCGAUUCAUUUAAUAGGGAUUUCAUAAUCUGAAGCAUCAGUUACUGCAUCAGUCAGUACAUACCAGGAAAAAACAUAAGAACAAUACACUUCCUACCAAAACAUAUGUAUCCUCUAAAAUCAGAAUUGACAUGGACAAACAAAGGAAUUGUUAACAAACAACACUUGGACGAAGCAAAUCAUUCUAAGCCUACAAUUGAUAAGGUGGCUGAGAACACAUAUGCCUGCCACGCAACUCUGUACCGGCCAGCUGCUGAGUAAUGUAUUUAAAUAGGGAUCUCACAAUCUGCAACGAUAGUUAGGAAAGAUUUCAUAAAGAAGCAAGGGUAUUACUAAUGGCAGGGGGCAAGCAUUAUUGGCUUCUUGGCAGUCGCUUAAUAUGUCAAUCUUUUGAUCGUCAUCUUCAACCUCCUUACAGUCUGGACAUCUUCUCCUUUAAAUCACUUGAAUGGUCUUCAAAUAGCAUUGCCCACGAAGAUAUGCAUCACUACCGCAAGCCACGCCGAUGCAUACACCACAAGAAGGAGCAGCACCACAAUCUCGUCCAUCUCUGCGAUGUCGCGGUUGUGCCUGUCCUGCGAAGCGCCGAGGAGUGACGGCGAGCUAGGUUAGGAUCGGCAGUGGCACGAGCACUGCGACAGUAAGAGAAAUAGGGAAGGACAAGUGCACGAAAGAGGCGGGUCAAAGCAGCGAGGACGUACCUUGAGGACGAUGCUACCCGACCUCCUCCUCCUUGAUGACGAGGAAGCACCAAGGGCAGCUUGAUGCUUGCCGGUGGCCUCCCUGAUGAAUUGGAGCCGAGCACUACGGGGUCAAAGGUGCAUCACCUCAUGCUUCUCCCGCUGAGCACCGAGGAGAGGGAGGCCAGCUUGGGAGCGAAAGAGGCAGAAGUUGAAUACAUGUAAGCAAUCAACCAAGAAAUGAGAUGCUAUAUGUGAAUAAUAUACAAAUGAGGAGAUGCUAUAUAAAUGACCUGCAGCGCGCCUUGCCCUGCGGUGCUGGAGCAGACUGUUGUGCCUAAGCAUGUGUGCCAGCCAGGCAGAAGCAUUUAUCCUGAUUAAUAACAAUAGUAGUUGAGCUGCUAUUGCGCCGCCAAGUUCUGUUUGCACACAGUAGAAGGGAACCAGAAAUAUUAUAUAAGCCUUGCUCGUUUUUGUAAGGCGUGGAACAAAGAAACGCUCCAGGCCUUCGUAUCAAUAUAGAGAAGCUGAGCCUAGGUGUAUAAAUUACGAACGUUUGUUCUGCUACAUCAAAAAUAGAAGGAUCAGUAUGCUCAUGUACUUGGAAUUGUAAAGACAAAUUUAAAAGUAUCUGCUGCUGAU
rnacentral:lncRNA from 1 species